UACGAAUGGGGCAAGCGUUGUUCGGAAUCACUGGGCUUAAAGCGUAUGCAGGUGGACUAGCAAGUCAGAAGUGAAAUCCCUGGGCUCAACCCAGGAAUUGCUUUUGAAACUGCUAGUCUAGAAUCCCGGAGAGGUUAACAGAAUUCCGAGUGUAGAGGUGAAAUUCGCAGAUAUUCGGAAGAACACCAGUGGCGAAGGCGACUCACUGGACACAUAUUGACGCUGAGGUGCGAAAGCGUGGGGAGCAAACAGG
rnacentral:rRNA from 1 species